rnacentral:rRNA from 1 species
CGGACGGGUGAGUAACGCGUGAGUAACCUGCCUUACACAAGGGGAUAGCCGUUGGAAACGACGAAUAAUACCCUAUGACAUAAACUCUUCGCAUGAGGAGCUUAUCAAAGAUUUAUCGGUGUAAGAUGGACUCGCGUCUGAUUAGCUAGUUGGUGAGGUAACGGCCCACCAAGGCGACAUCAGUAGCCGGCUUGAGAGAGUGUACGGCCACAUUGGGACUGAGACACGGCCCAGACUCCUACGGGAGGCAGCAGGC